CCUCGACAUCUUCCACAACUAAAGUGACUACAAUUUCAACUACAAGAUUUGUACCCGUGUAUCUAACAGACCUGGUGUUCCGUUCUUUUGACAUAUAUAUUGUUGAACUCAACGAUUCAAACUCUCAGGCUUUCAAGACAAGGGCUCAGCUUGUCAUAGCACAGCUUGACCCAAUCUACAGAGCCAGAUAUCCUUCCUUCAUCAGAGUGAUUGUCAUAAGUUUCAGCCCAGGGUCAAUCAUCACAACAACACAACUAGUUUUCAACUCCACGGAAACUGUCCCAUCAGUUGGAGAGAUUUCAAACACCCUCUUGACAGCAGUAGGAACAGGAGUUGUCAAUCCACUGAACAUAAUUCCUUCGUCAGUUUCAGUCAAUGGUUCAGUUAUUGCUACGACUGUAGCUGCUUUAACUACAGUGUCAAGUGGAUUAAAGAUUGAAUUCAGUCUGCUCCAAACAACAUGGCUCAUUAUUAUGGCAAAAAUAUUAAAGCUUUUCCUAUAGAUCCUUUAACAAUGAAUCAACCAAGGAUGCAAUUUCAGCAAAGCAUGUUCUAAUGAAUUAUACUAGCAAAUUAUAUUAUUUACGUAUGUGUAUGCAUUAUUUACUGUUGUAGCAAAAUCUUAAAAUAUGACAAUGGCUAUAUAAAUAGAAGCCUAAAAUUGCAUUGAUUUUCAAGAGCACAAUUUGUAAAGAGAAAAAAUAUUAUAUAUUUAUCAGAGGUUGUUGAGAUUUAUCCUAUUUUGAUAUUGUUCCUCACAGUAUUUUUAUAUGUAAUACAUUUGUUCAGCUGUCUGCAGGUUAAAGACUCUUUAUAGUUUUAUUUUGUCUAGUAUAUGCCAACAUUGCAAUAUCUUAUAUCUUGUAAUAAUCAAAUAAACAUAUUUAUUGAGUUCAUAUAAUCCAAAAUUGUUUUAUAUAAAACCACCAAUUGUGUGAAAUGAGAAAGAGAUGAAAAUAAAGAGAUCAUAAAAAUAUGAAGGAUUUAAACACAUACUUUUGUAUGUGUUUGUUUACAUCUAAAGAAAUACAUUUGUAUAUAUCCACAAUGAAUGUAAAACAUAGGCUUAUUUAAAAAAAAAAAAAAAAGUAUAGUAAAGUAUAUAUAUUUAUUUAAAAUGUACAAGGUUUUAUGUUAAUUUAAAUAAAGACUUGGUGUAACUUUAACCUGUGCACAAUUUCUUCCAUUGCACUUCCAUUUCUAUAUACAGUAAAUGCCUGUGUCCAACAUAGCCACCUGUAGCCAUUCUGGUGUGCAAGGGAUGUUUGCCAUAAAGUCUUAAUGACCAAAAGUACAUUUGUUAACUUUGAGCACAGACCACGGCCACAAUGGGAAGGAUUUGCAUGCAGGUAUGAUGUUCAUUAUUCAUCAGGAUCAGUGUCCAGAUGUUUUAUUAACAGAUCAUGUUAGUAUUGUGUAUUUACCUUGGUAACUAUAGUCUCCGUAACCUUAUCCCAAAAUACCCAUUAAUUUUCACUUUGUGUUAUUUUCUAUAUUUUUUAUGACUGGACAUCACGCAAAAAAAAAAAAAAAAAAAAAUAAA